UACGUAGGGUGCGAGCGUUAAUCGGAAUUACUGGGCGUAAAGCGUGCGCAGGCGGCGCGUUAAGACAGGUGUGAAAGCCCCCGAGCUUAACUUGGGAAUUGCGCUUGUGACUGGCGUGCUGGAGUGUGGCAGAGGGAGGUGGAAUUCCACGUGUAGCAGUGAAAUGCGUAGAGAUGUGGAGGAACACCGAUGGCGAAGGCAGCCUCCUGGGCCAGCACUGACGCUCAUGCACGAAAGCGUGGGGAGCGAAACAGG
rnacentral:rRNA from 1 species